UACGGGGGGAGCAAGCGUUGUUCGGAUUUACUGGGCGUAAAGGGCGCGUAGGCGGUCAGCACAAGUCAGUUGUGAAAUCUCCGGGCUUAACCCGGAAAGGUCAAUCGAUACUGCAGGGCUAGAGUGCGGAAGGGGCAACUGGAAUCUCGGUGUAGCGGUGAAAUGCGUAGAUAUCGAGAGGAACACCUGCGGCGAAGGCGGGUUGCUGGGCCGACACUGACGCUGACAGCGCGAAAGCUAGGGAGCGAACGGG
rnacentral:rRNA from 1 species